rnacentral:rRNA from 1 species
UACGUAGGGGGCAAGCGUUGUCCGGAAUUAUUGGGCGUAAAGAGCGUGUAGGCGGCCAGUUAAGUCCGCUGUGAAAUCUCGAGGCUCAACUUCGAGCUGUCGGUGGAAACUAUCUGGCUAGAGUCCGGAAGAGGAGAAUGGAAUUCCUGGUGUAGCGGUGAAAUGCGCAGAUAUCAGGAAGAACACCCGUGGCGAAGGCGGCUCUCUGGGACGGUACUGACGCUGAGACGCGAAAGCGUGGGGAGCGAACAGG